rnacentral:snoRNA from 2 species
UUAAAAUUUCAUGAUGAUUUCAUAGUUCAACUGAAUAUAAUUUGAUGACAUACUUGCAUAUGUCUUUCGCUCCUAUCUGAUUUUUC